AUUGAACGCUGGCGGCAUGCCUUACACAUGCAAGUCGAACGGUAACAGGUCUUCGGAUGCUGACGAGUGGCGAACGGGUGAGUAAUACAUCGGAACGUGCCCGAGAGUGGGGGAUAACGAGGCGAAAGCUUUGCUAAUACCGCAUACGAUCUCAGGAUGAAAGCAGGGGACCGCAAGGCCUUGCGCUCACGGAGCGGCCGAUGGCAGAUUAGGUAGUUGGUGGGAUAAAAGCUUACCAAGCCGACGAUCUGUAGCUGGUCUGAGAGGACGACCAGCCACACUGGGACUGAGACACGGCCCAGACUCCUACGGGAGGCAGCAGUGGGGAAUUUUGGACAAUGGGCGCAAGCCUGAUCCAGCCAUGCCGCGUGCAGGAUGAAGGCCUUCGGGUUGUAAACUGCUUUUGUACGGAACGAAAAGACUCUGGUUAAUACCUGGGGUCCAUGACGGUACCGUAAGAAUAAGCACCGGCUAACUACGUGCCAGCCGCCGCAGUAA
rnacentral:rRNA from 1 species